rnacentral:rRNA from 1 species
UACGUAGGGGCUAGCGUUGUCCGGAAUCAUUGGGCGUAAAGAGCGUGUAGGCGGCCCGGUAAGUCCGCUGUAAAAGUCAAAGGCUCAACCUUUGAAUGUCAGGUGGGUACUGCCGGGCUAGAGUCCGGAAGAGGCGAGUGGAACUCCUGGUGUAGCGGGUGGAAUGCGCAGAUAUCAGGAAGAACACCAACGGCGAAGGCAGCUCGCUGGGACGGUACUGACGCUGAGACGCGAAAGCGUGGGGAGCAAACAGG